AGGACGAACGCUGGCGGCGUGCUUAACACAUGCAAGUCGAACGGUGAAGCCUUUCGGGGUGGAUCAGUGGCGAACGGGUGAGUAACACGUGGGCAAUCUGCCCUGCAUUCUGGGACAAGCCUUGGAAACGAGGUCUAAUACCGGAUACGACGCAUCCCCGCAUGGGGUGUGCGUGGAAAGCUCCGGCGAUGCAGGAUGAGCCCGCGGCCUAUCAGCUUGUUGGUGGGUGAUGGCCUACCAAGGCGACGAC
rnacentral:rRNA from 1 species